CCUACGGGUGGCAGCAGUGGGGAAUAUUUCGCAAUGGGCGAAAGCCUGACGCAGCGACGCCGCGUGAGGGAUGAAGGUCUUCGGAUCGUAAACCUCUGUCAGCAGGGAAGAACGGUCACUGUGCUAAUCAGCAGUGAAUUGACGGUACCUGCAAAGGAAGCACCGGCUAACUCCGUCCCAGCAGCCGCGGUAAUACGGAGGGUGCGGGCGUUAAUCGGAAUUACUGGUCGUAAGGGGGUCGUGGGCGGUAGGUCAAGUCAAGGGGGAAGUCCCCGGGCUCAACGUGGGAACUGCCUUUGAAACUGGCGAACUGGAGUGUGUGGGGGGAUAGGGGAAUUCCAGGGGUAGGAGUGAA
rnacentral:rRNA from 1 species